GGUGGAUGGGAGGAAGGAGAGGACCAAAUUAGCUCAGAUUCUAUAUAAUUCACAGAACAGCCUGGUGUUAUUUGUUUGUUUUUAGAUAUAAGAGCCAAAGAGAUGGAGGUGGGGGGAGCAAAAAAUGUCGACAAAAAUAGUCCAUAGUCCUGAAAUGGAGAGAGAUACAAAUGUUUCCUUCGGGGAAUCAAGACCUGUAGACUUACAGAGUCGAAUGUUGCAGCAGUGAGAAGCAUUACAUGCCCAGGCAAGACACUGGAAAUGAAGUUAAUGAUGAAGAGUGAAUCAUAUGAAUACAUUAGAGAAAGAUUUACACUUCUUGCUGAUAAAUUCACACCAGUGAAAAUAGCCUACAACGCAAGAUACCCAUCUACAGUGAGGACGUGAAUGACUAAUAAGUAAAUCAAUGAGUGACUUUCGAUUUAAAGAGUUUUUAAGAUUAGUCACUGCUGAAGAAAACUUGAUAUGCUCUCGGGUCAUGUCAUCACAUCGGAAAGAAAUGCUGUUGGAGGUUUUCCCCAAAUCGACAACCAUCCUAAAGGUAACAUGUGGCACUUCCGAUAAUGAGUUGUAACGCUGAGAGAAACUUUCUGAAACAGCCAAUAAGAAAAAAAUUUUGAUCGAACACAUUAGAGGUAAGUCUGACUUGUCUUCCUCUGGCAGAACUGUCAUCAAAUUGUUGCCAUGUGAAGAAGCAAUCUAAAGAAUAUGUGGCCCAAAAAAAGGUAGGAAAAAAUACUUUAGUCAUGUGCCAGGCAAUUACAAAACAUUGUAUCGUGUUUCUGGAUUUUGUGAUGUUUAUGGUGUCGGUUAGCAUUUGCAAGAUUUGAAAUUGGUUGUGAUUUCUUUUCUCAUUUUGCAUAAAUGGUAAUUUUCAAAUCUCAGUUCGUGUCAUAAUUUGGUAUCCUUUUUCUUAAAGAAGGACCUCAAACUGCACAACUUUCAAGCCUCACAAAAUCUGCAUUUGUCUCUUCCCUGAGUUUGGAAAAAGGGCGGGUUUCAAAAAGCAUGCCCCGUGCCUCAGAGGGGGCUUUCCCGACCUGGGGACCAGAGGCCAGGCUUUCCCUCAAAAGCACCUCAAAAGCAGGAAGUGGGGGGAAAGCCUUGUUUUAGCCAUUGCUGCCAGGCUCCCAGGAGAGGGAAUCCGAGGGAAAGUAGCUCUCCAAUCUCCCACCGUGCUGUCAGACAACUUCAACCCCCAUUCAUUAGGUGUGAAAUGUUUGCUGUGAGUGUUUCUGUGUGUUUAUCCAACAGGUCUGCAAGAAGUGUGAAGCUCUGUUUGCUGGGAGUUUUAUUCUUCAAACAGAAAGUGGUUGGGAGGGGCAGGGCGAUGACAGGAAAGUGUAUGAGGCGGUAGGGUUUAUUAACAUCAAUAUUUCUCACCAUGAUA